rnacentral:rRNA from 1 species
GUGGGGAAUCUUCCGCAAUGGACGAAAGUCUGACGGAGCAACGCCGCGUGAGUGAAGAAGGUUUUCGGAUCGUAAAGCUCUUUCGUUAGGGACGAACGUGCUCUUUGUGAAUAAUGAGGAGUAAUGACGGUACCUAUAUAAGAAGCCACGGCUAACUACGUGCCAGCAGCCGCGGUAAUACGUAGGUGGCAAGCGUUGUCCGGAAUUAUUGGGCGUAAAGCGCGCGCAGGCGGGAUAUCAAGUCUGUCUUAAAAGUGCGAGGCUCAACCUCGUGAGGGGACAGAAACUGGUAUUCUUGAGUGUCGGAGAGGAAAGUGGAAUUCCAAGUGUAGCGGUGAAAUGCGUAGAGAUUUGGAAGAACACCAGUGGCGAAGGCGACUUUCUGGACGAUGUCUGACGCUGAGGCGCGAAAGCUAGGGGAGCGAACGGGAUUAGAUACCCUUGUAGUCC